GAUGAACGCUGGCGGCAUGCCUAAUACAUGCAAGUCGAGCGAACAGACGAGGAGCUUGCUCCUCUGACGUUAGCGGCGGACGGGUGAGUAACACGUGGAUAACCUACCUAUAAGACUGGGAUAACUUCGGGAAACCGGAGCUAAUACCGGAUAAUAUAUUGAACCGCAUGGUUCAAUAGUGAAAGACGGUUUUGCUGUCACUUAUAGAUGGAUCCGCGCCGCAUUAGCUAGUUGGUAAGGUAACGGCUUACCAAGGCAACGAUGCGUAGCCGACCUGAGAGGGUGAUCGGUCACACUGGAACUGAGACACGGUCCAGACUCCUACGGGAGGCAGCAGUAGGGAAUCUUCCGCAAAGGGCGAAAGCCUGAUGGAGCAACGCCGCGUGAGUGAUGAAGGUCUUCGGAUCGUAAAACUCUGUUAGUAGGGAAGAACAAAAGUGUAAGUAACUAUGCACGUCUUGACGGUACCUACACAGAAAGCCACGGCUAACUACGUG
rnacentral:rRNA from 1 species